rnacentral:rRNA from 1 species
UUCCGGUUGAUCCUGCCGGACCCCACUGCUAUCGGGAUAGGACUAAGACAUGCUAGUCAGGCGCUCGCCAGCCAAAGGUGAGUGCGGCGUACAGCUCAGUAACACGUGGCUAACCUGCCCUUGGGACGGGGACACCCCCGGGAAACUGGGGUUGAUCCCCGAUAGGCGGAGAACUCUGGAAUGAAUCUCCACCCAAAAGGCACUUGCGCUAUGCUCGUAGGUGUUGCCCAAGGAUGGGGCCGCGACCGAUCAGGUUGUUGGUGAGGUAAUGGCUCACCAAGCCUUUUACCGGUGCGGGCCGUGAGAGCGGGAGCCCGGAGAUGGGCACUGAGACAAGGGCCCAGGCCCUACGGGGCGCAGCAGUCGCGAAAACUUUGCAAUACACGAAAGUGUGACAGGGCUAUCCCGAGUGCCAUCCGCUGAGGAAGGCUUUUACCCAGUUUAGAACGCUGGGGGAAUAAGGAGAGGGCAAGACUGGUGUCAGCCGCCGCGGUAAUACCAGCUCUCCGAGUGGUGUGGAUGUUUAUUUGGCCUAAAGCAUCCGUAGCUGGCUGGGCAAGUCCCCUGUUAAAUCCACCGAUUUAAUCGUUGGAAUGCGGGGGAUACUGUUCGGCUAGGGGACGGGAGAGGCAGACGGUAUUUUCGGGGUAGGGGUGAAAUCCUAUAAUCCCGGGAAGACCACCAGUGGCGAAGGCUGUCUGCUAGAACGCGCCCGACGGUGAGGGAUGAAAGCUGGGGGAGCGAACCGGAUUAGAUACCCGGGUAGUCCCAGCUGUAAACGAUGCAGGCUAGGUGUUUGGGCGGCCACGUGCCGCUCUAGUGCCGCAGGGAAGCCGUUAAGCCUGCCGCCUGGGGAGUACGGCCGCAAGGCUGAAACUUAAAGGAAUUGGCGGGGGAGCACCACAAGGGGUGAAGCUUGCGGUUUAAUUGGAGUCAACGCCGGG